rnacentral:rRNA from 1 species
UGGCGUCUAAUCAGCACGGCCCUUACGUCCGUGGCUACACAGGUGUUACAAUGGGUGCUACAGAGGGAAGCUAUAUGGCGACAUGUAGCGAAUCUAAAAAGGCAUCCCCAGUUCGGACUGGAGUCUGCAACCCGACUCCACGAAGCUGGAUUCGCUAGUAAUCGCGCAUCAGCCAUGGCGCGGUGAAUACGUUCCCGGGCCUUGUACACACCGCCCGUCAAGCCAUGAAAGCCGGGAGUGCCUGAAAGCCGUGACCGCAAGGAGCGGCCUAGGGUAAGACCGGUGAUUGGGGCUAAGUCGUAACAAGGUAACCGUA